rnacentral:lncRNA from 1 species
GAUUUUGAAGGUUAUCCAAAGAGUAAGAGAUAAAUUUUACGUUAACCCCAUAGAACAUACUUCAACAGCAAUGCUUAAUACUAAGAAAGUUAACAUAAAUCUUCCUCAGCAUACUAUGCUUAAGAACCUUAAAAGCUCUAUUGAGAAAGAAUUUAAUAUUAUGAUACCAACUAGUAGAAACAAGAAUGUAUUCACAGCAAUACGUAAUGAUAAAGAAAAGAGACCAACUCCAAUCAAAAAGGGCAUUUAUAAAAUUCCUUUCGUAAAUAAUGCUACGAAUACUACCUCAUCAUAUAUAGGAAUU